GCCUGGAUAGUUAAGUGGCAAAACAGGCCCUUGGUAAGGGUCAGGCGGGGGUUCGAUUCCCCCUCCAGGCU
rnacentral:tRNA from 1 species